CAAAUCAAUUUGUUACUUACUAUAUGGAUCAAAACGAAUAAGUUCCAAUUUAUCCGCUAAACGUUCUCGAAUGGCAUUAAACUGGUGACCGGAGACUACACUUUCCAUUAAAACCAUGAUUCUUCUGAAAUUGCUUUUUGCUUUUUUCAAUAGUACAUUUGUUAAAAACAUUUUGAAAUUUUAAGCAGUGAGCGACAUCCAGAUUUACUGUAUAUGUUUAUAUAUCUCUAUUUAAAGUCUAGUCCAUAACAUAACCUUUUCACUUUUUAUUUGACGUUUCAAGCAAGUUUCAAGUCACAAUCUACCAUAGUCAAACUCCAAGCUCCAUGGUCUAAAGCAUGGAUCCUAAGACAAAGCAUGGAUCUAAAGCUGACUUGACUAUCCUUGAGCGACAUAGGUUAUACUAUAUUUUCAAAAAUAUUAGGGAUCCUUACUAAAACUCCAAUAAUGUAGCCCAAGGGAUAAAAAAAUAACCUAAAAAAUUCCUUACAUUGCGUGCGCUGCAAAAACUAAUGAUAAUAGAAAUAUAUAAUUUAGUAAGCCUUUGUAGAACACAUCAUUAUCUAUAAUAAUUGUAUUUGCUCGCAAACGAAAAAAAAAACUGACUUCAAUUACAUCGACAAGUAAUAC
rnacentral:misc_RNA from 1 species